rnacentral:miRNA from 10 species
GUGUGUGUGUGUGUGUGUGUGUGUGUGCGUGCAUGUGGACGCGCAUGCA